AUGCGGUGCUCCGAGACAUGGUUUAGUGGUAGACUUGACAGUGCUAGGUUGACUUGAUGGUCUUGGAGGUCUUUUCUGACCAGAGUGAUUCUGUGAUUCUAUUCUAUGAUUUUUUAUUGUCCUUGAUAGUCAAGGAAAGCCUGGAUAUGAUUUGGAGAUGCUUCAGCUGUGGAACAAAGUAAGAGUCAGACUGCUGUGAACUAGCACAUAGGAAACCUCAUAAAACAUGAACAACCACAAUAGAAGAAACAAUAAGGUUAUAUUCCUGGAACUGAGCCCCAUGGAAGGAAACCUGACCAAAGAAACUCUUAAUGGACCAGUGGCUCUUGGAGGCUGAGCAGGUACAGAAGAGUGAAACAUAAACAUGGAGGCUGCAAAAGUACAUCUCAAAGACCUUAAUCAGAGUUGGAAGGAACUCUCUGAAGUAGGCAGACCACCAUGAUGCUCUGGUCUCAUCUAGAUGUUUGCAAAAUACAAAUGAUUGACAAUGUGAGAGACUCCUGGAGCAGCUGGAGACCACCAGAAAGUCAUGGAUUACACAGCUUCUACUCUAUUUGUUCAAACCAUAGCAUCUACAAAAUGGGUGACCAUACAAUAGGUAGGUACAAUGAGUGAAUGUAAAGCUUCAUUUGGAGAAUGCUCUCACUAUUAGGCGGUUUAAAUUUAAAUAUAAACUCAAAACUUAAUAUUAGAAACGAAAGGAAGCACCCCUUUGGCAAAGCUGGGAGAUACUUCUAUUUUUGUUUUCAGAGAAAGCAGGACCGCUCUUUUUCUUUGCUCUAGCUACCACCAUUUUAUUUACUACUUUUUCUCAUCUUUGUGAGAUUAUGUUGAUUUGACACUCUUGCAAUAACAGGAAUCAAGCAUUUGCACAGCUGGAGAACCUCUCCUCUACAUCACCUUUAGGCUGAUUCUAGCUGGCAAAAAUAAAAACAGAGAAGCUUUCUGUGCAUAUGUUCAAGGCAGAACUAUCUUUUCCUUGAGCCUUACAGAUAGGUAGCUGCAUCAUGGCAGGAGGUAAUCUGGCAGAAAAGCAAAUGCAUGCUGUCUUCUACUGAGGUAG